rnacentral:rRNA from 1 species
CCUACGGGCGGCAGCAGUGAGGAAUAUUGGUCAAUGGACGAGAGUCUGAACCAGCCAAGUAGCGUGAAGGAUGACUGCCCUAUGGGUUGUAAACUUCUUUUAUAUGGGAAUAAAACGUUCCACGUGUGGGAUUUUGUAUGUACCAUAUGAAUAAGGCUCGGCUAACUCCGUGCCAGCAGCCGCGGUAAUACGGAGGAUCCGAGCGUUAUCCGGAUUUAUUGGGUUUAAAGGGAGCGUAGGUGGAUUGUUAAGUCAGUUGUGAAAGUUUGCGGCUCAACCGUAAAAUUGCAGUUGAAACUGGCAGUCUUGAGUACAGUAGAGGUGGGCGGAAUUCGUGGUGUAGCGGUGAAAUGCUUAGAUAGCACGAAGAACUCCGAUUGCGAAGGCAGUUCACUGGACUGCAACUGACACUGAGGCUCGAAAGUGUGGGUAUCAAACAGGAUUAGAUACCCCAGUAAUC